rnacentral:rRNA from 1 species
GACGAACGCUGGCGGCGUGCCUAAUACAUGCAAGUAGAAGCUAGUUGCGAACGGGUGAGUAACGCGUAGGAACCUGCCUCAUAGCGGGGGAUAACUACGCGAAAGCGUAGCUAAUACCGCAUACUAUUGGAGCGGCCGAUAUCGGAUUAGCUAGUUGGUGGGGUAACGGCUCACCAAGGCGACGAUCCGUAGCUGGUUUGAGAGGACGACCAGCCACACUGGGACUGAGACACGGCCCAGACUCCUACGGGAGGCAGCAGUGGGGAAUUUUGGACAAUGGGGGAAACCCUGAUCCAGCCAUCCCGCGUGUGCGAUGAAGGCCUUCGGGUUGUAAAGCACUUUUGGCAGGAAAGCGGUACCUGCAGAAUAAGCACCGGCUAACUACGUGCCAGCAGCCGCGGUAAUAC